rnacentral:rRNA from 1 species
UACGUAGGGGGCAAGCGUUGUCCGGAAUCAUUGGGCGUAAAGAGCGUGUAGGCGGCCCGAUAAGUCCGCUGUGAAAGUCCAGGGCUCAACCCUGGGAUGCCGGUGGAUACUGUCGGGCUCGAGUCCGGAAGAGGAGUGUGGAAUUCCUGGUGUAGCGGUGAAAUGCGCAGAUAUCUGGAGGAACACCGGUGGCGAAGGCGGCAUCCUGGACCGGCAUUGACGCUGAGGAGCGAAAGCCAGGGGAGCAAAGCGGG